GUCGAGCGGCAGCACGGGUACUUGUACCUGGUGGCGAGCGGCGGACGGGUGAGUAAUGCCUAGGAAUCUGCCUAGUAGUGGGGGAUAACGUCCGGAAACGGGCGCUAAUACCGCAUACGUCCUACGGGAGAAAGUGGGGGAUCUUCGGACCUCACGCUAUUAGAUGAGCCUAGGUCGGAUUAGCUAGUUGGUGAGGUAAUGGCUCACCAAGGCGACGAUCCGUAACUGGUCUGAGAGGAUGAUCAGUCACACUGGAACUGAGACACGGUCCAGACUCCUACGGGAGGCAGCAGUGGGGAAUAUUGGACAAUGGGCGAAAGCCUGAUCCAGCCAUGCCGCGUGUGUGAAGAAGGUCUUCGGAUUGUAAAGCACUUUAAGUUGGGAGGAAGGGCAGUUACCUAAUACGUGAUUGUUUUGACGUUACCGACAGAAUAAGCACCGGCUAACUCUGUGCCAGCAGCCGCGGUAAUACAGAGGGUGCAAGCGUUAAUCGGAAUUACUGGGCGUAAAGCGCGCGUAGGUGGUUUGUUAAGUUGGAUGUGAAAGCCCCGGGCUCAACCUGGGAACUGCAUCCAAAACUGGCAAGCUAGAGUAUGGUAGAGGGUGGUGGAAUUUCCUGUGUAGCGGUGAAAUGCGU
rnacentral:rRNA from 1 species